UACAGAGGGUGCGAGCGUUAAUCGGAUUACUGGGCGUAAAGCGUGCGUAGACGGUUAUUUAAGUCGGGUGUGAAAGCCCCGGGCUCAACCUGGGAAUUGCAUUCGAGACUGAAUAGCUAGGGUACGGUAGAGGGAAGCGGAAUUUCCGGUGUAGCGGUGAAAUGCGUAGAUAUCGGAAGGAACAUCAGUGGCGAAAGCGGCUUCCUGGACCAGUACCGACGGUUCAGGCACGAAAGCGUGGGGAGCAAACAGGA
rnacentral:rRNA from 1 species